rnacentral:lncRNA from 1 species
GUUUACUUUAUGUAUGAUAUAUAAAUUCUUAGAGUUCUUGUUUGUUUUCAAUAAUAAGAAGUUAAAGCUAAAUGUUGCUAAAGAGAAUAAUUAUUGAUUGGAAGAAAUUUUUCAACAAUCAGAAAUAUGAGCAGUCACUUAAAAACUAGGCAAAUAAAAAGAAGAAAGAGAAAUAAACUAUUUGCUUGAACUGAAAUACUGAAUUGUGAAACAUUGACAAGAUCAGAAGUAUUAGAUGCCUGCUCUUAACCUAACCUAAAAAAUGUUCAACAUUAUUAUUUAGUAUAUGCAUGCUAUAAUGAAUAUAAAUUAUUCUAGGAAUUUUUGUUGUUGUUAUUGCUGUUGUGACUGUUGUUUUUGUUUGUAUGAAAUGUAUUUUGGACAGACUAUUAAGGUAGGCCGGCAAUGAUAUCCAAUCAAUUGAGUAAUGUAUUAACAAUAUAGAAGAUACAAACUUGAGAGUAUAAAUCUUUCUGCUUAAUAUUAAAACAAAUUAGUAAAUACAAGUACAAAGAGAUUCCCAAACUCGUAAUUUGACCCAAAGGAAGAAGUACUUGUAAAAUACAACAAUCAGGCAAGAAUCAAGAGAGAAAUAAAGGAAAAAUCAUUUUAAGAAAGGACAUCAGAAAAGAAUGUGAACAAGAACAUUUCCCAGCCUGUUGCCACCUCUACUCCUAAAUCACGGCAACAACCGCAGCAUAUUUCAGAAGGAUGGCUUAAAGGAAGGAAGUUAUGACCAAUUUGGGAAAGAAAAAUUCCUUUAGGGAUGGAAAGCAAAACAAUCUUGCUCCUUCUAACACUAGGUUCAAUGGCUUCUCUAGCUAGAAAUUUAGCGCUGAAGGGCUUAUGAAAUCCCAAGCAUUAUACUGAGUCUAAAAUAGGGGUUGGAGAGGUAUCAGGGCUUUCUUUCUUUCUUCAUUCAAUCAUCAUGGAGCACAUGAACUCUGUACCUUAGUUGGGCGAGCCUUUCUUAAAGAACCAAUGAAAAUAUGCAUACAGUUAUCUCAAGUAUGUAAAUUAUAAAGGCUUUACCCCAGGACAAAUGACUAAUUUUUAUGAAAACAUUUUUAAUAUCAUUGUUUAUUCAUGACCUGAUUACACAACUUACAUGAAUCCCAGGCAAAUAUUUGAACUAGUUCCAACAAACUAGUGGGCUAGUAGAUGUUAAUUCUUUUGUUCAUCUGUCUUAUGUAUUUAUAAAAUAUCUAUGCUUUACUGAUAGCCCUGUGAGGUAUAAGUAUUCUGGGGAUUUGGAGAUAAGAGUUCAAAGACAAAGAUCAAAAUGAAAGCAGAAAGUGUGGAGGUUGGGUAGAAGUAUUGAGAAGAAAAAAGAAAGUUGUAUACAUGAGACCUCCAUUUUCUGCAGAAAAGAAGAAAAGUCCAAUAAAUGUAGAGACGCAAUCUCAAGAUUAAGAUGGGCAAUGAUAUCAUCGUCAAACAAAUUCAGAAGAGAAUGUGUCUACAGAUCUGCAAACUCACUAUAAAGCCCUGUAGGGGAUAGAGAAGAUGUAUAAUGUGAGAUCGACCCCCAAGUCGCUUGUAAUCUCUAUGAAGCUGCUAACACAGGAAACAGGAAAAAUGACUGAUGAUGACUUUCGUGGUUCAUACUUGAGAGGUCAGAGAAUUGACAGCAGAGAAUAUUGGCAUGAAAGUGAAUCCCUUUAUGAAGAACACGCCAACUUCAGGAGCCUCAAAUAGGGCAUGGGAUCUAGCAAAGCAAAAGACCCAGCUGUCUCCAGGCAAUAGCUAAGGUAGAAGAGUCACAAAGGAGGGGAAUCCCUGCCCAAUCUGGCCCCCACCUCCUCCUCCACCUCCUUGCUUCGGUCUCCUUCAUUCUUUCUUCAACAAGCAUGAACCUCUAGGAGAUGCUUCUUUUGCUCAGAUACUGCGUAUAGGUCUUCCUCCCUCACUUCCGUUAGGAUUCUUCUUAAAUAACAGAUAAAUAUUUGUCAGUGAGUUGGAUCACGGCCAUCUCAUAAAAGUGCAAUAAAUCUCCUCCCCUCCUUUCCUACUUAUCAUGGAAUCUGUUGACCAUCUUCCCCUAAUAGAUGAAAGUCUAUGAAGGCAGAAAAAUGUUUCAGCUUUAUAUGUAACUCCAGUCCCCCAGAAAAGUGCCAGGAACAUAAUUGGCAUUCAAUAAAUAUUGAGGAAGUAAGGAAGGAAAGGAAGAAAGGAAGGAAGGGGAGAGGAAGAGGGAUGGGAGGAAGGAAGAUUAAAGUGUGGAUGCAUUUCCUGAAGACCUUGAAGGCAAGUGCUUCAAUUGUAAAGUUGAUGUCAUUAGACGAAUCUAAUUAUUUAGUAAAUACUUUUAAGCUAAAUUCACUGAUCAGUUAGAAAGUUUCCUUGCUUUUUAAUUUCUUACCCAGUAAUAGUCACAUAUAACCCCUCAGUCUCUUAAAUAUUUAUCAGUAGAUUCACUUUUAACAAAAGCCAUGCUUUCCUUGAUAGAGCAAGGGCUGUGCUCACUACCAACCUGCCAAUGGAAAGAAAAAGAAAUGUAAAUGAAAAGUGAAAACUCAUCAUGAUAACCACAAAUUUAAAUGAGUGCAAUAGCUAUGCUGCUUCUUCUCAGGCUAAGGAAGUGAAGAUCUGGCCCAAACCCCGUCCUUACUGGAACAUUAGCAGUAUGUACGGAGCACAAAAAGGCAGCCUGGCAUAAGCAUGAAGAAAACACCUCACUGGAUACUCAGGAACAUUUCCUUCUUCUCCAGAAUGAAUAAUUCCUUGGCAUUCUACAUGCUGUUUCCAAGUUCAUAUUAAUGAUUAACUAGUCUCAAAACAGAUGUUUAUAAUUAAAUCACGGGUUAUAUAAGAUGGUUAACUGGUCUAAUGGCUGAAAGAAUGAAAGAGAAACUGAGUGUUUAAAUUCACUGUUGCAAGAAGGGAUACAGGAAGCAUUUCUUGUACAGAUGUAAUAUUUCUGUAUUGUUUUUCUUUCUCAUAGAGAUUCCUCAUCUUCUAAAUAUUCUCUUGUAUGAAACUUGUUUUAGUUUCCUUCACACCAGCAGAUUUAUUAUUCACUUCUAUCCCCAGAAAUUCUGACUCACAUGGUUAGGGAGUGUAGCCUUGCCUGUUCAAAUUUCUUACAGUGCUCUUUUUUAUGUCUUAGGUUUUUCUUAUCAGAAUCUCUCCAAGAUAUCACAUAAAUUAUGUUGAUGAUGGCUGGGGUUUUAGCUCAGUGGUUCAGGUGCCUACCUCACAAGUGCAAGGUCCCGAGUUCGAUCCCUGAUACCAAAUAAAUAAAUAAAUAAAUAAAAUUAUGUUGAUGAGCUAAUACUGCAUUGUUUGUAGCAGAAAAUACAUUAUUAGUUAUACCACAUGGGGUUCAGCAUGCACAAUAUUCUCUGCAAUUAUUGUAGAUGACGUUGUUUGCAAGUCAUAACUUCUAUGUCCACCAAUGUUUUAAUUUCGGCCUCACUUUCAGUUGAAAUUUCUACUAAUAUUUUUAUCUACUUGAAUCUUGAAGUUGAAGUAAGCUGAUUAGAUCCCAUUUUUUCACACACAUUAUAUUGUCCGACAUAAAGAAUUUAUUUAUGAAGUAAAUAUUAUAAAUUAAAAUCAAAUUUUCUUAUGUCUGCCUCUAAAUCCAAAACUGGCAGAGGGGGUACAAAUAAAACUAAGUGAAUUUCUGUCUGAGAACCCUCCCUCUCCUAUAAUCCCUGAGGUAUUCAUUCAGGCCUGUCACUUGCUGUUUUAUUUCUAACCAAACACUCCCUAGGCAAUGUACAGAAGACCACAUGGAUGACACUCAAGUUCAAAUGUCUGCAGAGGGUGAGAUUAUGCCACUCAAUCCUUAGCUUAUAAGUCAAUCAACUGAAAUGUCUCAGAAAUGUUUGUGUUUGGAUUUGGGUUUGAGACAAGAGCCAAUAAUAUCCUUCAAUGUGUUAUCCUCAGUCCUCAAGAUACUGAUACAGAAUUACUUAUAAUUACAGUUUGGUCAAAAACUAUUAGAAUGAAGCAAACUGGAAUGUAGGUGUUAAAGUACCAUCCUGUAGAAGAACACGUAAAAGCAAUCACUUGUGUGUUUAGUAUGUUUGUGCUCAAUGUAGCACCAUCUUUGUCAGGUGAUUACAUCACAAUUUUCUCAUUACCGCUUACCAGAUGAUAAUAAGCAACCCAUUAACUGGCUUAUAGCCCUUCCGCUUGGAUACUGCUGAGGUGGGAGCAGGACAGGUAUUUUUAACUGAAAGCCUGAGCUAAAAUGGUUUGAUGACAGUAUGAAAUUGGGUCUGCACUGCAAUGCAAUACUGAAAAAAAUAGAAUGCAAUAAAGAACUGUAGCCAUCACAUGUGAUUACUUCAGGCUCUACAGCUUCUCCUUUGGUUGUUUAGACACAGAAGCUUUUCUUUUGCAUUGCCAAAGGCCAUGGUCAGAAAAUCAGUAUGAUACCAGCUUACCUCAGGACGGAAGCUCUAAGAAGCAAGAUAUUUUUAAAAGCUGUAGAAGUUACCACCAGGCAGAAGCUAGCCAACAGAUGAAAAGCUAUAUUCACAAGACAUAUAUAUGGCCAGUGUGCAUGGGUUCCUGACAGUCUGGGGAGAAAAUAAAAUAAGAUUUCCAGUUUUCUGCUGAUCCAACACCAUUUCCCAUGGGUUGCACAAUAUACCAGCACCUAGUUAGCACGGCUGUGGUACAAAACCAUUGAAAGAAAAGAAAAAUGAGUUAUUCUUAAAACAUGUAAAAGCAAACUGAUUACAAGUAACAUUUUUCAGGUGGGGCAAUACUAAUAAGAAUUCUUGUGUCUAGUUUUUCUCCAAAAGAUCGUUUGGGAUGGAUCCAGAAGAUUCAAAGAUUCUCUAAGCAAUCUGGAUUUUAUAUUUUGUCAUGCUUCAGCUUGUGGCAGUUUGGAGUCAUCAUCGACUAUUAAUACCAUUAUUUAAACACAAAUAUUGUCCCUUUCCAUUAUGAAAAGCUAUUAUAAACAUAUACGG